rnacentral:rRNA from 1 species
AGUGAACGCUGGCGGUAGGCCUAACACAUGCAAGUCGAACGGCAGCACAGUAAGAGCUUGCUCUUACGGGUGGCGAGUGGCGGACGGGUGAGGAAUACAUCGGAAUCUACUUUUUCGUGGGGGAUAACGUAGGGAAACUUACGCUAAUACCGCAUACGACCUACGGGUGAAAGCAGGGGAUCUUCGGACCUUGCGCGAUUGAAUGAGCCGAUGUCGGAUUAGCUAGUUGGCGGGGUAAAGGCCCACCAAGGCGACGAUCCGUAGCUGGUCUGAGAGGAUGAUCAGCCACACUGGAACUGAGACACGCUCCAGACUCCUAAGGGAGGCAGCAGUGGGGAAUAUUGGACAAUGGGCGCAAGCCUGAUCCAGCCAUACCGCGUGGGUGAAGAAGGCCUUCGGGUUGUAAAGCCCUUUUGUUGGGAAAGAAAAGCAGCAGGUUAAUACCCCGCUGUUCUGACGGUACCCAAAGAAUAAGCACCGGCUAACUUCGUG